GACUCCUGCGUUUUCAGUUACUUUUACGAGAGGGCAACGUGGAAAAGGACGUAAUUUCGUUAGCUCCGAAAAAAAUUUAAACAACCGUUUAUACAGUUUUACAAUUAUUAUUAAUACUUUUUAAAAGCAUUUUUGACAGAAGAGGUUACGAUUUUCUUUUUUGAAAACUUCGUAGAAGAAAUCUCCACAUAGAAGAAUCGAAGGCCGUCGUGUCAACUUUUUUUUCUACAUAUGUUUUUUUGGUCGGAGAUGUGUUUGGAAGCGAUGAGAACCAACGCGAAGCGCAUUAAACCCGACUGUCUGCGGAAAACCACGAAACCUGGAUCUAAGCCGCGGUGGAAGCUGGUCCGUGUGUUGGUGGACGACGAGGCCGUGAGGCGGUGUCGAGACCCGUCGGUGAAAACGACCAUCCGAAAAUAUCUACGACGGGAGCAAAAAAGGAGAGCACAGCCGACAAAACUCAUCAGAGUCACGCCAGACAAGGAGGAGGAGGAGGAGAAGAAAGACCAGGAAAUAAUGGAGUCCAGGUACGAGGAAAUCCCCGUUGAGGCCUGUGUGCCGAGUUAUCCAGCCGGGGCAAUGGCGCCGGAAAACACCACGCAGUACCUGAUGAGUAAUGUGUAUGAAGACAUGCAACUAAACGACGUGCACUCACUUUCACACGGCACAUUUGCACAUCUGUAUGGCGACUGUCUCUCGCCGAGAAGUGUGUACUCGGUGUUGGACUCUGACUAUGAGAGCUAUCUUGAUUUUCAGCAGAGAGACUUCGAGGAAGCGUUUGACCCGUAACCGGAGUGAACUGGUCUGAAGGCUCGUCCGACUUCUCCUUCCAGGAGCAAUGACUUAAUAAUAAAGACACAUGAAAAGCGGCGCUUCUUUUGGACGCUACCCCGUCCAGUAGGGGGCGCUCCUGAGACUUCCUCCCGGAGGAACCAACGUAAACGCACCUCCCCAAGCUCUAGGUCUGACCUCACGGAUUGUGAAGUUCAGGUAAAACCCGGGCAGGUAUUCAUGUUGCACUGCAUUGUCAAUGAUGGCAGUAGUGACUGUUGUCUGAGCGUUUUCCAGGUGCGUGUCCCCCACCCUCUUCCAAGGACGCGUGGCUCGGCUGUGAGAGGAGCAGGAGAGCACGGAGGACGGUGACUGGGACAAGGUGACUUUUAUAAAGGUCCUCUGGUUGUGUUUGUUUAAAUCCUGAUAAAUCUGAUAAUCGGGUACAGUUCAAUUGAAUGUCUAAAUUGGUAAAAAAUGUUGCACUAUAUUGCGAUUGAUGCAGACUGUGUGGAAAAUGUACAAUAAAAGAAAUCAUUUGGAAA